rnacentral:tRNA from 1 species
GGGGGCGUAGCUUAGCGGCUCAAAGCGCCGGACUGUCUCUCCGGAGAUCGCGGGUUCGAAUCCCGCCGCUCUCG